GUGAAUCAUCGAAUUUUUGAACGCAAAUUGCGCUUCCUAGCAUCCCGGGAAGUAUACCUGUUUGAGGGUCAGUAUUAACAAAAAAAUCGGUUUGGUUGCAAAUUGUGACGUUUCCGGAGUUUGGGCUAUCUUAACUUUUUUGGUUAAGGGGCUUAAAAUUGACCUUUUUUGCGCAUUUUUAGGCGUUAAUAAAUUUUUUUUUUUUUUGUUUUUUUUUAAUUCCAAAAUUUUUUUA
rnacentral:misc_RNA from 1 species